UGGGUGACAGCUCUGAUGAUUUUCCAUU
rnacentral:piRNA from 1 species